UCAUGGCACGCACAGAGAAGAUAAAAUUGGAACGAUACAGAGAAGAUUAGCAUAGCCCCUGCGCAAAGAUGACACGCACAAAUCGAGAAAUAAUAUCAAAGCCU